CUGGAGACUGCUCCUGUGUGGAGUUUCUGCUGUGAGCUUCAUCAUUGGUCUGUAUUCACAGGGAGGAGCAUCCUAAUGGAGAAUAGUGCCCAAGGCUUCCAGCUACGCAGAUCCAAUGGAGCCUCUGCAUACCAUCCUCAAGCCAGCAGAACCUUUGGGCAGAUUCUUAGGUCAUGGAGAGACAAACCAGGCAGGGUGAGGGGCUGAGGCAGACCCUCAGGAGCUGUUUGAUCACAACCAGCUGUAUUUUAGCCUCCUGAAGAUGGCAAUCAGUGAUGGAGAUUCCACAUUCUCCCUAUGUCCUCUCCCAGGGCAAUACACAGAGGUGUUUCUACAGCCUGCCCUAAAUCCGGCCACCUCUCCGCAGUGAGUUGUUUUCCUGCCCCCAGCAGACACCGACCCGUUACUGCUCUCCUUUCAGCAGAGCUGCCCACACUAUGCAGCACUGCCAGCUGCUGCCGGUGGGACUCAGCACUGCCUGCUGAGGCCAGAGACACGUUUACAAGAGGAGAGGCUCCGGAUAGUCUGGCAGCACCUCUCCUGCUAACAGCAACGCAGAUAAGCAGCACCGCCUUCCUUAACUCAAGUGGGAAAGAAAUCCCAACUCGCUCGCUGCUUAAUAAAGUGCAGAGAGGCAAAGGAAUUUAAACUCCAGCUAGGUAUUCCCUGUCUAAGUGAAGCACUUGCAGAGAGCAACCCAGAGGACAGCUGGAGGGAUGGAGUCAUUCCCAUCACCCACAGGCGAUGUGGAUGCUGGUGCUGCCCCACACCAGUGCUAUUUUUGCUCGGAUUUAGAACACCCAUGAGGGAUGAUAAGCAGUGCAUGCUCUGUUUGUCAUUUUUCUCUGCACAUGUCGUUGGGAUGCUGCUGUUUUUAGCCAGGCUUUUGGAAUUCUUCAUCACCUAAAAAUGUUCUUCUGCGCCAAGAUCAGAACUUUAAGUCUCUCGUGGGCUCCCCAGUUUUGGAUCCCUGAUCUGAGGGGCUCUCAUUGCUCAUAUUCUUAUGUUGCUGUUUUAUUAAAUCAAAAAUAGCAGUAAUAUAAACGCCUGUGGACCUGAAGAGUAGUGAAGGAUGAGAUGGCUGCUAAAGAAGAAUGAAGCUGUGGAAGGGAGAGGAACCAACUGGAAAACACCACAGAACCGAACAUACCAGAAUCCCUCCAGCUCCAUCAGGUGGUGAUGCCAAGGGGGGAAGGUGAGGAAGCUCCUGGGGUGGCAAUAAAUGCAGAUGAGCCAAAGAGAAGCAGUCCGUCUGCUGGCAACUCUUAUCUCCUGUGCUAAGAGUAAGUAAUGGUGCUGCUCCCAGGGCACGGCCCUUCUCACCUGCGUGGUGCUGGCAGCCAGAUAUCACCCGGUGCAGGCAGCCACUUUCCCCUCAUCUUUCCUUCCAAAUUCAUUGUGAUGUCUCCUAGAACUCUUGGGAAGCCAAUCUGCUGAAUAGGAGGUUUUUUCCUUUCUUCAUGCAAUCUGUAUUUACCAGGCAGCUUUUGUACACCGAACAAUGACAGCAUCGUGAGUUUAAUGACAGUUUAUUGGCAUGGCAUUGUCAUGGCAUUGUAAUGCACGAGAUCACUCCGGGCUCCAUUCUGUGAUCAUUCCAGAACAAAGACUUUUUAAAAGUUCUUGUUGAAGAGGCGAUCAACACUUCCAGGCAAAAACAACCCAAAUCUCGAUGUCGGCACUUCUUGAUGUAAACACAUGAGUUAGAACAAACACCUUAGGAAACCAUGAGACCGUGGCCCCCAGAACAUCUCAUACAAGGUAUCCCAAGGGAUCGCUGCAGGUGUUAGAGGGAGGAUCUACACAGUGCUCCGUGAUGCUGCUGGGGACAAGGCAGGCAGAGCUCAGCACCUGUGGCCAUGCUUUCCUCCAUGAGCCCAAGCCUUGUCUUGCACAGAGGCACCCAAGCUGCCCUGACUCCAUGGCAGACUGUCACCUGUGCACUGUGGUGUUGGAGGAGGAGACCCAUUUUGCUUCCUUCUGGUCGGAGUUUCCCAGCAGAUCAAGGAAAUCACGGGUAGGAGAGAGGAAAUUCCCUUUUUCUGGUUUCCUACUUUCCUGGUUAUUUCUCACAUAGUGCAAGUAUUGUUUGCUUUAUAUCCUAUUAAAUGUAAACAGGGCUGCAGAUAGAGCUGCUUUUUCUUUCAAGAGCUGUUACAGUGGGAUCUAUCAAUGAAUGAGCCAAGAGGACUGUUCAGAAAAUCAUGCUUUCAUAAAAGGUGUCUUUGCAACUAGAUUUGAGUCAGCUCCUGUGAAUUUCCCCUGACAUACAAAGCUCAUAAGUGAGUGAAUGAAGGCAAAGAGGAGGAAGGGAGGUGAACUCCACCUCCCACCAGCAGCAGCUGGGCUGAGGGCAGGGAGGAAGCUCAGACUCAUAGCUCUGCACAUCGCAAGCACAGCCAGACCACAAGAGUCCCAUGCACCUCACAAGUGUCCCACAGCACAAUGACUCUAUCGUCCCUUCUCAGAUUAAAGGUUUUCUCUGUAAAUCUCCUAAAAUUAAGGGUGCUGAAGACCCAGGUACUCAACCACCUGCUACCUGCACCAUCCCUCAGAAAUACUGGCUUCAGAGCAAAUCCUGGAUUCCAUUCAAAAAAGACAGGUUUUUCUUUAACUGUCUCUCAAGACCUUUUGGUUUCUGAUGCUCAGUGUAUGCACACUUCUACCAAAUUUGGUUUACAAACCAGCUCAGAUUCAGCUUAGAUCGGUUUCUUUUCAAUGCCACUGAGCAACACGAGCUGCUCUGAGAUCAAUUCUCAGAAAAGCCAAGCUUAAAAAAGCAAACCAAAACAAAAGAUGAGAUCUUGCUUCCUUUGAGCCAACCAGUUUUCAGUCACACUUUCAACACUUCCCAGUGUAACCCUCAGUAACA